ACAGCGGUGUUUUGCUGAAGCCUGGUACACGUCGCCCCACGAGCUGCUCGGAAACCAGCAAGCUGGGAGCAUGCAGAUGGUUCCCAACUCCCAAAGACAGGAGCCAAACCUUUCUGGGAGAGCCCAGCUGAAAAGGUCCUGACUCAUGAUCACAUCAGCUCUGCGGAUUGCCAGGUUAAUUGAUAGAAUGAACAGUUACUGAGCAUCUACUAUAGACCCUGAUGGCAGGCUCCACAUCUGUCAUGUUCACUGCCGUAUUCUCAGCUGAGGACAGUUCCAGAUGUGUGAUAGGAUCGGACUGAGUAGCCUCUGAGAUCCAUCUCAGCUCUAACACGGCAUGACCUAUGAUGCGCAUUUGGAGAGACCAGUCCAUUUCCCAUCUCUGAGCUCUGUUCUCUA
rnacentral:lncRNA from 1 species